AUUGAACGCUGGCGGCAGGCUUAACACAUGCAAGUCGAACGAGUGGCGGACGGGUGAGUAAUGUAUGGGAAACUGCCAGAUAGAGGGGGAUAACUACUGGAAAGGGUAGCUAAUACCGCAUACCAUUAGAGCUGCCGAUAUGGGAUUAGCUUGUGGGUGGGGUAACGGGUCACCAAGGCGACGAUCCCUAGCUGGUCUGAGAGGAUGACCAGCCACACUGGAACUGAGACACGGCCCAGACUCCUACGGGAGGCAGCAGUGGGGAAUAUUGCACAAUGGGCGCAAGCCUGAUCCAGCCAUUCCGCGUGUAUGAUGAAGGCCUUCGGGUUGUAAAGUACUUUUGGCGGAGAAGCGUUACCCGCAGAAUAAGCACCGGCUAACUCCGUGCCAGCAGCCGCGGUAAUAC
rnacentral:rRNA from 1 species